ensembl:lncRNA
ACUAACUGUAGAGCAAACACUGGAAACCCUUUAACCUUAAGAAUAUUCAGUGCUCAGAGGCACAACAUUGCAUUUUUAAAGUUUAUUAUUUGCUACCUUUAGCUAAUGUUUUAUUAGCUACGACUUAUUAUUAAUAGACAACAAAUUUUUCUUAAGUUUCUCAACUUUUCUGUCUGAUGCAGAUCCUACUGAGACCAUACACAGAUACGAAGUGCCAUAAUAUGCUCUUUCUUAUGGAUGGAGUUUAGUAUUAUUAACUGUGAUAGACAGUCAGUGAGACACGAUGAAUAUAUUACAGAUGAUUUAUAUCAUGACACUACAUAACACACACACACACACACACACACACACACACAGUGUAAAUGUGCUACUAUACAAGUUAGUUAGCUGGCACUGACCUUGCUAGCAAAAGCUAUUGUAUGGAUAACAUCAUUGCAAGGAUAACAUGUAAACAUGAUCAUGUUUACAAUUGGCUGAUCAAAAAUAACUUAAAUUCCACCCCUUGUUGUAAACUGAUAUAAACACUAAAAUCCUAAAACACUCCCUACUUAGGGAGCCUCCUCUUGAGUAAAAUUGAAAUCUUUCAAGUGAAGGUUUGGCAAAAUAAAACGGAUAACUUUAUGUACAAACAGAGAUUCGAGAAGGAAACAGAAAUGUUGUUAUCUGUGAACUUCAGAGGUCAGAGGUCAGACAUCCGUGCUGAUGGCGUGUGUGUUGGUGUAGAAGUUCAUCAUGGCUGCCGUGCCGAGUGCAGUAACGCCUCUCGGCUCUCGGUGAGCAACAGCGAGCCACAUGCAUUGAUUACACACGUCGUCAUGGCGAUAGUACGGCGAGCAGGUGGGACAGUAGCUGUGGGUGGCACUGGGGUCAGAGGUCAAUGGCAGCAGGGUCCUGGUGACUUCUUCCACACUGCACACGUCACUGCGGAUACGAGGACGAGCGUCCAACACCGGCACACCGACCGACUCUGAGACAUCACACUCACAACAAUAACGCUACACAAACACCAACACCAAACAUCAGCACAAACACCCAACACCAACACAAACACCAAACACCACCACCAACACCGAUACCAAAAUCAAACCCCACCACCAAACACCAAACCCAACACCAAACGCGAACAACAAACACCAACACCAGCACAAACACAAUCCCACACAAUAAAUACAUUACACACAAUAAUAACAAACACAAUUUAAUCCAUUUAUUUUAUUCUGGAUUAGUGCUAUAGGGAAACGUGUCCAUGUGUGAGUGUGUGUGUGUGUGUGUGUGUGUGUGUGUGUGUGUGUGUGUUCUGCAGUAACACAGCACAGUGAUGAUACACAGCAGAAUCACAGCAGCUAAAAAUCCUCCUGAU